rnacentral:rRNA from 1 species
UGAACGCUGGCGGCGUGCCUAAUACAUGCAAGUCGAGCGAACAGAUGAGGAGCUUGCUCCUCUGACGUUAGCGGCGGACGGGUGAGUAACACGUGGAUAACCUACCUAUAAGACUGGGAUAACUUCGGGAAACCGGAGCUAAUACCGGAUAAUAUAUUGAACCGCAUGGUUCAAUAGUGAAAGACGGUUUUGCUGUCACUUAUAGAUGGAUCCGCGCCGCAUUAGCUAGUUGGUAAGGUAACGGCUUACCAAGACAACGAUGCGUAGCCGACCUGAGAGGGUGAUCGGCCACACUGGAACUGAGACACGGUCCAGACUCCUACGGGAGGCAGCAGUAGGGAAUCUUCCGCAAUGGGCGAAAGCCUGACGGAGCAACGCCGCGUGAGUGAUGAAGGUCUUCGGAUCGUAAAACUCUGUUAUUAGGGAAGAACAAAUGUGUAAGUAACUAUGCACGUCUUGACGGUACCUAAUCAGAAAGCCACGGCUAACUACGUG